rnacentral:rRNA from 1 species
GAUGAACGCUGGCGGCGUGCCUAAUACAUGCAAGUCGAACGCACACUCGAUUAGCUUGCUCGUCUUUCCUUCUCGUCGGACAAGUUUGUAACACGUGGAUGACCUGCCUAUAACACUUGGAUAACCUCGGCUAAACGGAGCUAAUACAUGUUGAUACAUAUAACAAUAUCGUUUAAUACUUAAAACCGCAUUUGCUAUCACUUAUAGAUGGUUCCGCGCCGCAUUAGCUAGUUGGUCAGGUAACGGCUUACCAAGGCAACGAUGCGUAGCCGACCUGAGAGGGUGAUCGGCCACACUGGAACUGAGACACGGUCCAGACUCCUACGGGAGGCAGCAGUAGGGAAUCUUCCGCAAUGGGCGAAAGCCUGACGGAGCAACGCCGCGUGAGUGAUGAAGGUCUUCGGAUCGUAAAACUCUGUUAUUAGGGAAGAACAAAUGUGUAAGUAACUAUGCACGUCUUGACGGUACCUAAUCAGAAAGCCACGGCUAACUACGUG